rnacentral:lncRNA from 1 species
UCUGAUGUUAAAGGGUUAUGAUAAAAUACAAGUUAAGUUUUAUCUCCCAUCCUCUCAUCUCCAUCUUCACUGAUAUCUAUAUUGACAAUCAUCUCUUAACUUUUAAUGAACUUUUAACCUGACUACAUGCUGAAAUGUAGUAGCUAGUUAGACUGAUUAUUAGAUAAAUUGAUACUUGCUAAUUUCUUGCUAUUAGUUAAAAAUGUUUUGCAGUUCUUUAUUUACAAGAAGCAACUGGAAGAAGUUAAGGAGGAGUUGGUGAAUUUCAGUAAAGUUGAUUCCUCAGCAAUGCACAGCAGAUGCUAAAACUAAUCUGACUCGCUGCUCAGCUUCUGGUGGAAAGGAAUCGAGGGAGGCAUGUAGUGGACAUUUAUUGGUAAUCUCUUGGGAUCAUAUCAUACUAAUCAAACCAGCUCCAUUACUGAACCAAAACCUGUAAAUCAGGUAAUUGACUCCAGACCAACAGCAUGAUCUAUGAAUGCAUAUGCUAACGGGUUAAAUGUGGAAAACUAGUACUGGGGAUGCAUGCAAAAAAAAUGUGGAAAACUAAAUAAAAACUAUUUUUAGUUCUCAUACAUAUAUUGCAUGCAAAAUAAUGUGGACAAAUUCUUUAAUUCUCAUGCAUAUAUUAUGAUGCAUUUUUAUUUGAUUUUUAAUGAUUAAAAUUGCAUCUGCUUAAUAUCUAUUCGUAAAGUGAUAUAAAGUUAUCUUAAUGAUUAAUUUUAGUUUGAUAUGUAACCCUCGGAAUAACUGAAUAACAAUUUGGAGAAAGAGGAGGGACACAAACAUAUGACCUGUCCUUCGCUGUUCUCAGUCUGUCUCUUCUGAAACUGAUGAUCAUCUCUUACAGGUUAUAGGCCAAAUUAUCUGCAUUUCUGUCAGAGAGAAUGAGAAAAGUUAACCGGAGCACUGGUUGUUUGUGACUUUGUGUAACAAUCUAGGCAGAAGAAUGGAGAUUGAUUGUAUGAAAGUUAAGUUUGAGCACAAUGAUACUUUCAUAGUUCUUGUUUCUUAGGCGAAGAGUAGAAUAAUUUGAUUGUCCAAUUAUUGAAAGGGUUCCGUAGAAUCAUAAGAAUAUGGUUCAGUGGUGGCACUGGCGGAAUCAUAAAUUUUCAGAGAAUUGGCAAAAUAAUCCUUCUUUGUGCACAGGUGCGUACAGGGCAUUAACACAAGAAUUUCAUUCUGACGAGUUCUUGCUGUGUAGAUUGUUCAUGUGUUUGACCUGUUAGGCUUCGAUGUAUUUAUCAUUUUCGUAUCAUGUAAUUUGUUAUAUAAUAAUUUCAUUAGAAUAGAUAUU